rnacentral:rRNA from 1 species
AAAUUGAAGAGUUUGAUCAUGGCUCAGAUUGAACGCUGGCGGCAGGCCUAACACAUGCAAGUCGAACGGUAGCACAGAGAGCUUGCUCUCGGGUGACGAGUGGCGGACGGGUGAGUAAUGUCUGGGAAACUGCCUGAUGGAGGGGGAUAACUACUGGAAACGGUAGCUAAUACCGCAUAACGUCGCAAGACCAAAGAGGGGGACCUUCGGGCCUCUUGCCAUCAGAUGUGCCCAGAUGGGAUUAGCUAGUAGGUGGGGUAACGGCUCACCUAGGCGACGAUCCCUAGCUGGUCUGAGAGGAUGACCAGCCACACUGGAACUGAGACACGGUCCAGACUCCUACGGGAGGCAGCAGUGGGGAAUAUUGCACAAUGGGCGCAAGCCUGAUGCAGCCAUGCCGCGUGUAUGAAGAAGGCCUUCGGGUUGUAAAGUACUUUCAGCGGGGAGGAAGGUGUUGUGGUUAAUAACCACAGCAAUUGACGUUACCCGCAGAAGAAGCACCGGCUAACUCCGUGCCAGCAGCCGCGGUAAUACGGAGGGUGCAAGC